rnacentral:rRNA from 1 species
GAUCAAUAAGCGGAGGAAAAGAAACCAACAGGGAUUGCCCCAGUAACGGCGAGUGAAGCGGCAACAGCUCAAAUUUGAAAUCUGGCCCCUCGGGGUCCGAGUUGUAAUUUGUAGAGGAUGCUUUUGGUGAGGUGCCGCCCGAGUUCCCUGGAACGGGACGCCACAGAGGGUGAGAGCCCCGUCUGGCUGGCCGCCGAGCCUCUGUAAAGCUCCUUCGACGAGUCGAGUAGUUUGGGAAUGCUGCUCAAAAUGGGAGGUAUAUGUCUUCUAAAGCUAAAUAUUGGCCAGAGACCGAUAGCGCACAAGUAGAGUGAUCGAAAGAUGAAAAGCACCUUGAAAAGAGGGUUAAAUAGUACGUGAAAUUGUUGAAAGGGAAGCGCUUGUGACCAGACUUGGGCGCGGCGGAUCAUCCGGGGUUCUCUCCGGUGCACUUCGCCGCGUCUGGGCCAGCAUCAGUUCGUCGCGGGGGAAAAAGGCUUCGGGAACGUGGCUCCUCCGGGAGUGUUAUAGCCCGUUGCAUAAUACCCUGCGGUGGACUGAGGACCGCGCAUCUGCAAGGAUGCUGGCGUAAUGGUCACCAGCGACCCGUCUUGAAACACGGACCAAGGAGUCGUCUUCGUAUGCGAGUGUUCGGGUGUCAAACCCCUACGCGUAAUGAAAGUGAACGCAGGUGAGAGCUUCGGCGCAUCAUCGACCGAUCCUGAUGUUCUCGGAUGGAUUUGAGUAAGAGCAUACGGGGCCGGACCCGAAAGAAGGUGAACUAUGCCUGUAUAGGGUGAAGCCAGAGGAAACUCUGGUGGAGGCUCGCAGCGGUUCUGACGUGCAAAUCGAUCGUCAAAUAUGGGCAUGGGGGCGAAAGACUAAUCGAACCUUCUAGUAGCUGGUUUCCGCC